AGAGUUUGAUCCUGGCUCAGGACGAACGCUGGCGGCGUGCCUAAUACAUGCAAGUCGAGCGGACCGAAUGAGAGCUUGCUCUUGUUCGGUUAGCGGCGGACGGGUGAGUAACACGUGGGCAACCUACCCGUAAGACCGGGAUAACUCCGGGAAACCGGAGCUAAUACCGGAUAACACCGAAGACCGCAUGGUCUUUGGUUGAAAGGCGGCUUUGGCUGUCACUUCCGGAUGGGCCCGCGCGCAUUAGCUAGUUGGUGAGGUAACGGCCUACCAAGGCGACGAUCAGUAGCCGGCCUGAGAGGGUGAUCGGCCACACUGGAACUGAGACACGGCCCAGACUCCUACGGGAGGCAGCAGUAGGGAAUCUUCCGCAAUGGACGAAAGUCUGACGGAGCAACGCCGCGUGAACGAAGAAGGCCUUCGGGUCGUAAAGUUCUGUUGUUAGGGAAGAACAAGUACCGUUCGAAUAGGGCGGUACGGUGACGGUACCUAACGAGAAAGCCCCGGCUAACUACGUGCCAGCAGCCGCGGUAAUACGUAGGUGGCAAGCGUUGUCCGGAAUUAUUGGGCGUAAAGCGCGCGCAGGCGGUUCCUUAAGUCUGAUGUGAAAGCCCACGGCUCAACCGUGGAGGGUCAUUGGAAACUGGGGGACUUGUGUGCAGAAGAGGAGAGCGGAAUUCCACGUGUAGCGGUGAAAUGCGUAGAGAUGUGGAGGAACACCAGUGGCGAAGGCGGCUCUCUGGUCUGUAACUGACGCUGAGGCGCGAAAGCGUGGGGAGCAAACAGGAUUAGAUACCCUGGUAGUCCACGCCGUAAACGAUGAGUGCUAAGUGUUAGAGGGUUUCCGCCCUUUAGUGCUGUAGCUAACGCAUUAAGCACUCCGCCUGGGGAGUACGCGCAAGGCUGAAACUCAAAGGAAUGACGGGGGCCCGCACAAGCGGUGGAGCAUGUGGUUUAAUUCGAAGCAACGCGAAGAACCUUACCAGGUCUUGACAUCCCUGACAACCCUGGAGACAGGGCGUUCCCCCUUCCGGGGGACAGAGUGACAGGUGGUGCAUGGUUGUCGUCAGCUCGUGUCGUGAGAUGUCGGGUUAAGUCCCGCAACGAGCGCAACCCUUGACCUUAGUUGCCAGCAUUCAGUUGGGCACUCUAAGGUGACUGCCGAUGACAAACCGGAGGAAGGUGGGGAUGACGUCAAAUCAUCAUGCCCCUUAUGACCUGGGCUACACACGUGCUACAAUGGGCGGUACAAAGGGCUGCGAACCCGCGAGGGGGAGCGAAUCCCAAAAAGCCGCUCUCAGUUCGGAUUGCAGGCUGCAAUUCGCCUGCAUGAAGUCGGAAUCGGUAGUAAUCGCGGAUCAGCAUGCCGCGGUGAAUACGUUCCCGGGCCUUGUACACACCGCCCGUCACACCACGAGAGUUUGUAACACCCGAAGUCGGUGGGGUAACCCUUUUGGGAGCCAGCCGCCGAAGGUGGGGCAAGUGAUUGGGGUGAAGUCGUAACAAGGUAGCGUACCGGAAGGUGCGGCUGGAUCACCUCCUUU
rnacentral:rRNA from 1 species